rnacentral:rRNA from 1 species
AUUGAACGCUAGCGGCAAGCUUUACACAUGCAAGUCGAACGAGUGGCGGACGGGUGAGUAAUGCAUGGGAAUCUGCCCUAUAGCGGGGGAUAACUACGCGAAAGUGUAGCUAAUACCGCAUACCAUAGGAUGAGCCCAUAUCGGAUUAGCUAGUUGGUGGGGUAAAGGCUCACCAAGCGACGAUCCCUAGCUGGUCUGAGAGGACGACCAGCCACAUUGGGACUGAGACACGGCCCAGACUCCUACGGGAGGCAGCAGUGGGGAAUAUUGCGCAAUGGGGGCAACCCUGACGCAGCCAUGCCGCGUGAAUGAAGAAGGCCUUCGGGUUGUAAAGUACUUUCGGCAGCGAGGCGGUAACUACAGAAGAAGCACCGGCUAACUCCGUGCCAGCAGCCGCGGUAAUUC